rnacentral:rRNA from 1 species
UGGGGAAUUUUGGGCAAUGGGCGAAAGCCUGACCCAGCAACGCCGCGUGAAGGAUGAAGUAUUUCGGUAUGUAAACUUCGAAAGAAUAGGAAGAAUAAAUGACGGUACUAUUUAUAAGGUCCGGCUAACUACGUGCCAGCAGCCGCGGUAAUACGUAGGGACCAAGCGUUGUUCGGAUUUACUGGGCGUAAAGGGCGCGUAGGCGGCAAUUCAAGUCAUCUGUGAAAUCUCCGGGCUUAACUCGGAACGGUCAGAUGAUACUGCUUUGCUAGAGUGCAGAAGGGGCAAUCGGAAUUCUUGGUGUAGCGGUGAAAUGCGUAGAUAUCAAGAGGAACACCUGAGGUGAAGACGGGUUGCUGGGCUGACACUGACGCUGAGGCGCGAAAGCGUGGGGAGCAAACAGGAUUAGAUACCCAUGUAGUCCCUGAGCGGGCUGGCAAGGCGCAU